UGCGUAGGCGGUCCCGCAAGUCCGCUGUGAAAGCCCCCGGGCUUAACCUGGGAAUUGCAGUGGAAACUAUGGGACUUGAAUCCGGCAGAGGGGGGUGGAAUGGCCAGGUGUAGCAGUGAAAUGCGUAGAGAUCUGGCGGAACACCGAUGGCGAAGGCAGCCCCCUGGGCCGAGAUUGACGCUCAGGCACGAAAGCGUGGGGAGCAAACAGGAUUAGAUACCCUGGUAGUCCACGCCCUAAACGAUGACAACUAGGUGUUGGGGAAGCGAUUCUCUAGUACCGCAGCUAACGCGUGAAGUUGUCCGCCUGGGGAUACGGUCGCAAGAUUAAA
rnacentral:rRNA from 1 species